UCUCCGUUGGUGAACCAGCGGAGGGAUCAUUAUUGAGUUACCGCUCUACAACCCUUUGUGAACAUACCUAACUGUUGCUUCGGCGGGCAGAGGUCCCUCGCGGAUCUCUCCCGGCAACGCCCUCACGGGCGGAGCGCCCGCCGGAGGAUACCAAACUCUAUUUUAACGACGUUUCUUCUGAGUGGCACAAGCAAAUAAUUAAAACUUUUAACAACGGAUCUCUUGGUUCUG
rnacentral:misc_RNA from 1 species